UGAGGUCGUUAGACAGGUGCGAGCAA
rnacentral:piRNA from 1 species